rnacentral:tRNA from 1 species
AAAGUUUUAAGUUAAUAAAAACUAUUAACCUUCAAAGUUAAAAUUAAUAAAUAUUUAAACUUUG